AACCCUGAGUGGAGGGUUUGCAGGUUAAAGGAAUGCCACGGCCCAGCCACGUCCACCACCAACAGUGCUGACCACAGCCCAAGCUGGCCCUGCGAUGCCUCGGGAGGCGCUUGCUGCCCGAGGACGCCUUCAUGCAAAGCAAGCCCGCGCGCCCGUUUCACCACCACCCACCAGGGAGCAGGUCAGAGCUGCUGUUGCCGUGGUGCAAGAGCCAGUCCUCAGCCACCGGGAGGGGAGUCCUGGGACGGCAGGGCCAGCCCCAGAGUCCCACCCAGCAUCUCACCUGUAGCCUCUUCUGAGCCAGCCGGGCCCCCACUGCCGGGCCACUGGCUGGCACUGAACCCCUCCGUCGCCAGGUCCAUGAGGUCCUGCAGGGCCUGGUGCUCCCUCUGGCUGGCCGAGGGCGACGGCUCCCUGGAGUCACAGCCUGCAGGUGGGGUGCUGUGGAGAGCGGGUGACCUUCGUGUGCCCGGCUCUGACUGCUCAGGUGGUACCAGCGGUGGCACAGACUCCUGAGUGAGGCCCUGAAAGAGGCCGGUAGGCAGAGUAACCAUGUGGCCACUGUCACUGACAGGCACUGCAGAAGCCGUCACAUGUGCUGUGCACGGAUGAACUUAAAACUACAGAGCAGGACACUGGCUGUGGGGACGGAGGGUCCCCGGAGCUCCAGCCACAGCCCAGAGCAGCCCUGGGAUGCUCUUCUCCAGCACUCAUGUCAGCAGGCUCCUCCUCUUGUCACGGCCAAGGCCAGGCCUGUGGCAUCUGAGUCUGCUCAAAGGCUUGUCAGAGGCCAGUGGGGUCCAGGCCUGCCACCCUCCUAAGUCCUGCAAGUGGCCUCAGGCAGGUGUGUACUGACUCCAGGGCCAGCUGUUGCAGGGCCGUCUGCAGCGUGUGUUCAGAAUGCAGGUUCCCAGGCUCUGUCCCAGGCAGUCUGCCAGCCGCCCCAAGACUCUGCAUUUUCAACAGCUCCAGGAGCACAGUCCGUGGUGGAAACUAAGGGUCCUCCCAGAUCCUACCAGCAGGCCAUGUAGUUGCUGUACAGAGAAGUUAGGUGCAACCACCAAGCGUCCCUCUGGCUCCUCCCAUCUCUGCCUUUCUUUCCUGGACUUGCCAUCACCUGGCUGUGGAUCCCCAGUAUAGCAGUUCUGGAACUGCCGGCCUCCCCCAAAAGCCUGUGGCAUAUGCCUGAGGAGAGGGGCUCACCUGGGCGGGCUGCUGGGGCACGAGGGGAGGGACCAGGCUGGCUGUGUAGAAGGCCUCCAUGGCCCAGGCCCCGGUCAGUGCGCUGCCCUCCCACAGAAAGCUCUGCUUGCCUUCAGGUGGGGGCAGACACCAGCCUGCCUUUUCCCGCCCUUCCUUUAAAAUCCUGCUGGUGGGAAGUGGUGGCGUGCUGGACAAUUCCACUUCCUCAGAGAGGAGUAAGGCCACACGGUCCUCUAUCUGUCGGCCUGUGGUCUCGGAAUCCUGGACUAACAACAGUGGAGGUGAACCUGGAGGUUUCUUCUUGCGACUUUUCUUCUCUAGAGAGAAACAAAAGUGACACUAUCAACGGUGGGGUCAACCCACUCACCUGGGACCUGCUGGCGUUUUCUCUCCCAGGUGGGGGCUGGCGGUCUCUGUUCUUGGCCACACAAACCUGCUUCCGGUCUUAUCCUCCCAGAAAAGGCACUUUCCAGCCUGAGUGCUGGCACAGCUGCACAUGGCUCCAUCUCUGACCGGGACAGAGCCAUGGCCAUCAGCAGGUCCUCAGAUGGUGUCUCGUCUAUCUUCCGCCUCUUCCGUGGCUCCUUCUUGCUCGAGGGUCCUCUCCGUUUCAGACCUCCACCAUGAUCGCUGAAGCUAGAAGACAACCACAGAGAAAAGCUAUUGGGGCUAGAGGCAUGUGCACUUCUGAGGCUGGUCACACUGGCCUGGCAAGGGCUGGGCCUGAGAGAAAAGAUGGAUGCGGACCCGCCAGGCAGAUACAUCCCCUGCUUCUACUGCCUUGUGUGAGCUUACUCAAUCCAGGCCAAAAGUUCAGCAGGGCCCAGGCACAGGAGAGCCUGGGUCUCUUCAUGUGCUGCUGCCCAGCAGGCUCACGGCAGACGUACAGAGCCAUCUGCAGUACCUGCACAUCCUCAUGUGGCCCAGCCCGUCCAGUGGAGGCAGCAAUGGAUGGCUCUGAGCUGGCUCCCUGGAUUCCCUCCACCUUCACCCACCAGUACUUUACACAGUCCUGGCCACACCAGCAGAAAAGGGUCCCUUCCUACAGGGGCUCCAGGCCAGUGCCUCUGCCCAUGGCCAGAAGGAAGGGCUUCCCAGCUUAGGCUGCCAAUGGUCGACGUUAUACCAGCCACCCCGGGACUCUGCAUUUGCAAUAGGCAGCAGCUCGUCUGGUUUGGAGGAAAUGAACAGAAGUGUUUCCAGCUGGAGAGAACCUAGGCUGCCUGGGCGACUCCCAACAAGCUGGGCAGGAAGGAGGAGGGCAGCGGCAACGCAGGAACUUAGCACACUCCGAACCCACCUUCCCUGCACUGCAGUCAUGCCUCUGGCUUUGCAAAGGCUUAUGCUCUCCACUGGGCCAGGGAUGGCUCAAGUUCCCCUUCCUAGAUAAGCACAGCCUCCCAGAGGGAAAAGAGCUGCCUGGGCAGCUAGAUCCCCCGCCUCUGUGAGGGGAACACAGACUCUCUCCCCUCCUCACUGCCCAGCAGGCCAGGUUUGGGCUGUGGGGAGAAUGCAAGUCACUCUGGCUGGGGUGUGCAUUCUGAUGACCAUAGGCUUGGCCUUUGGGGUUGGGGGUUUAAAGACCCCAUGGGGCAUCCAGCUCCUGCAGUUUUCUACUCUAACGGCCUUCUACAUGGGCCAACAUACAUCUGGUUUCAGUACUUGGAGGUAUUCUAAAAGCAGACAUGGAGACCUUAACUGAGCAGGUGGUUUUGGUGCGGUCCUGCCAAGAAAGCAACAGUGGCUUAGAUGACAUCUAUUCUAAGGCCCCAAGGCAUGCAACCCUGCCAUGCUGCUGUGGAGGUACUAAAUACAGAUAGGCUCCCUGCCAAGAGAAUCCCCCUCUGCCCUCUACCGUCUCAGCCCUGGCCCAGCUCAGCUGCCCAUGACCUGUGUGCAAAGCAGUGGGUGGGACAAACAGCCAUUGCCUUUGGCCUUCUCUUUGCUCCUGACAGCUGUCCCAAACCUGGAGGCGUCAAAGGCCCAAGUUGCCUCUGUUCCUGUGAACCUGGUGUCAGCUCUAGUGUCCUCAGUGGCAGGGCAGUGUGGAGCAGGGCCAGCCCUCUAGCACUUGGGUGGCUGUGGUUUGAAUGCUGAGGACUUGUUUCCUGGCUGUGAGCAGGGCCUCUCAUUUUAACUUUUAAGCAUUAAUUUAUGCAAGAUUUUUUUAAAAAGAGGGUCCUACACUUCUGUUUCACCAACUUUGUUGUUGUUUUUGUUUUGUUUAUUAAGAAAGGGUCACCGGGCACGGUGGCUCAAGCCUGUAAUCCCAGCACUUUGGGAGGCCAAGGCGGGUGGAUCACGAGGUCAAGAGAUCGAGACCAUCCUGGUCAACAUGGUGAAACCCCGUCUGUACUAAAAAUACAAAAAAUUAGCUGGGCCCAGUGGUGCGUGCCUGUAAUCCCAGCUAUUCAGGAGGCUGAAGCAGGAGAAUUGCCUGAACCCAGGAGGCGGAGGUUGCGGUGAGCCGAGAUCGCGUCAUUGCACUCCAGCCUGGGUAACAAGAGCGAAACUCCGUCUCAAAAAAAAAAAAAAAGACAGGGUCUGGUUCUGUUGCCCAGGCUGGAGUCCAGUGGUGCAAUCAUAGCUCACUGCAACCUCGACCUGCCAGGCUCAAGCGAUCCUUCUGCCUCAGCCUCCCAAGUAGCUGAGACUACAGGUGAGCAGCACCACGGCCAGCUAAUUUUUUGAUUUUUUUUUUUUUUAUAGUGAUGGGUCUUGCUAUGUUGCCCAGGCUGGUCUUGAACUCCUGGGCUCAAGUCAUCCUCUGCCCUGGCAAAGUAUUCAGGUUACAGGCAUAAACUACCAUGUGUGGCCAAUCACCAACUCUUUGAACUGUGCUGAAGAAUCUGAUAUUGACCUUGUGCCAGUGGGACUACACUGAGGGGAAGCAUGCAACAAGCAUGUAACCACACACCAGUGAGACGGACGCAGCAGGGUCUCACUGUCGCCCAGGCUGGAUUGCAGUGGCACUAUCCCGGCUCACUGCCACCUUCACCUUCCAGGUUCACGUGAUUCUCCUGCCUCAGCCUCCCAAGUAGCUGGGACUACAGGCAUGUGCCAGCACACCCAGCUAAAUUUUGUAUUUUUAGUACAGACAGGUUUUCACUAUGUUGGCCAGGCUGGUGUCGAACUCCUCACCUCAAGUGAUCUGCCUUCCUCGGCCUCCCAAAGUGCUGGGUUUAUAGGCAUGAGCCACUGUGCCCAGCCCAUAAAAAGCUUUUUUAAAUAGAAAAAGCUCUGAGUGCACAAAGCAUUACUUGGCUUGGUUUUCUUCCUUUCGUCAACUCACCUGGAUACUGGUGGGCUGCCGCCCCCCUCAGACUGUGCUGUCUGCAGCCGCACGGCCUGUAGCAGGAGCUGGGGGCCCACCUCCAUCUUCGUGGCACACUGCUUCAAGUGACUGGUUCUGCUCUUUAAGGUGAGAAACUGUUUCCCACAAAUGGGGCACUCAGGGAUCUGAGGCACAGAAGGUCUUAGUGCCUUUUCAGCUUCAUCCAGGCACCUACAGGAAGACCAUAAAUACAGAAAAACUACCUUUCCCGGGAAUGUGGAUUGUAGCAAAUGUGGGUCCUUGCUGACAUGGACAUGCUGUGGUCAAAGGAAAUUCCCCAAAGCCAGUCCCCUCCAUACAGCCUGACUGUCUCCCGACAGCCAGCCCCAAGACACUACAUUUAGGUAUCUAUUAACAAAGUUGGCCAAAGAAAGCACGGAAAGAUGAAAUGCAGUUACGCAAUGGCUUAGAAAUUCCACUCCUAAAUAGAGACCCCAAAGAACUGAAAACAGGUACUCAAAUACAUGAAACCCACGUUCACAGCAGCUCUAGUCACAAUACCCAAAAGGUAGAAACGAUCCAAACUCCCAACAGUGAGUGAAAGAAUAAACCACAGUCAUACGCCUCAUCUAAGACUGGGAAGGAAACUCAGCCUUACCCAUAAUGAGAUACUAUUCAGCCAGGGAAAGGAGUGAAGCCUGAUCCAUGCUACGACACGGAAGAACCUCAGAAACAACACAGGGAGUCAAAGAAGGCAGACACGAAAGGACAACUGUGCGAUUUCAGAAUCGGCAAAGCCAUCCAGACGGAAAGUUGAUCAGUGGUUGUCAAGGGAGGGAGGGGCAAUAGGGAGUGUCUCCUAAUGGGUGUGGGGAUUCUUUUGGGAGUGAUGAAAAUAACCCGGAAGUGAUUGUGGUGUGCAACUGUGUGAAUAUCCCCAAAGCCACUGAUUUGUUCAGUUUAAAUGGGUAAACUAUAUGCUCUGUGAAUUAUAUCUCAAUGAAGUUAUUUUAAAAAGGGGAUAGGUUGACAACACAGCUGAGGUGCUAUCAUCAUGGUAAGGUGUGGAGAUCCCCACCCCAGCCCUGGGGCACCCGGGGAUUCUGGUCACAUACACAGGAGUGGUGACGGCCUGAGCUGCCCCCACCUGUUCACAUGCUGCUCCCUUCGUGUCACGUUCAUGGCUGAGAGGUUCUUUUGACAGAUCUGGCAGAAGAACAAUCCCUUUUCCUCCAGGCUAUCAUCAUGUGCCGAUGCUCUGACCCGGGCAAACUCCUGCUGCAGGGCCAAGGCCACCACGGCGUCGCUCCCUGGGGCAGGGAGCCCAGGCCCAUUCCCUGCAGAGAAGCGCCGAAGAUCCGUGAGGAUAAAGUCCAAAAACAAGCUCACCCUCAGACCUCGGCUCUGUCGGCUCUGGCAGACCAUGGGGAGCGGGUGAAGCACCAAUAAACCAGAACCCAGCUCCGCCCUGCAGGCCAGGCUGGAAUACAGUGGCGUGAUCUCAGUUCACCGGAACCUCCACCUCCUGGAUUUAAGAGAUUCUUCUGCCUCAGACUGCUGAGUAGCUGGGAUUAGAGGUAUGUGCCACCACACCCAACUAAUUUUUAUAUUUUUAGUAGAGAAGGGGUUUUGCCAUGUUGGCUAGGUUGGUCUCAAAUUCCUGACCUCAGGUGAUCUACCCACCUUGGCCUCCCAAAGUGCUGGGAUUACAGGCGUGAGCCACUGCAUCUGGUUUGGUUUCUUAGCGAAGAAUCGUUUAUCUCUUUCUGGGCACUUGCUGGGUGUGAUGUGAAGAUAGAGGGAGAACUGAGUCAAAUGCUGGGCAGGGGCGGAGCUUACACACCAGCUGGGUGCCUCCUCCGCGCCUCAUAUGUGCAUCCAGGACCAGUGCCUCAGCAGGAUAUCACAUCUGCCUGCUGUGGCACCUGGGGCGGCCUGAGACUCCUUGGUGAAAGCUACUGUAGUGAAAUCUGCAAUGCAGUGCCAAGGGCCUGCAGAUUUAUUAGCUCUAGGUCCACCAAUAAUAGUUUCUUCUCACUUCUUUUCCUUUUGUAUAUUUUCAUCAAAGUUGAUGGUCCAUAUUGUUUCGGGGAUGAAGAAUGGGACCAUCUGGCAUUAUUAUGCUUCUUGGGGUGCGGCCACAGCAAGCACACAGCAGCUAUGGGGCACUGUCACUGCACUGUCUUACCUAGAGCCAGUGAGCCUCUAGACCAGAGAGUAGGGUAACCCAAUGGUUAGAGGAAGGGGUUAAAUGAUCCCAUAAAGAAAUAAAUUCAGCAAGUGGGAAAUCUUGUAAUACAAUUAGCCUACCCCAUUCUUCUUCUUUUUUUUUUUUUUUUUGGAGACAGAGUCUCAUUCUGUCACCAGGCACCAGGCUGGAAGGCUGGAGUGCAGUGGCAUGAUCUCUGCUCACUGCAACCUCCGCCUCCCGGGUUCAAGCAAUGCUCUUGCCUCAGCUUCCCAAGUAGCUGGGACUACAGGCACAUGCCACCACGCCCAGCUAAUUUUUGUAUUUUUUAGUAGAGACGGGGGUUCACCAUGUUGGCCAGGAUGGUCUCGAUGUCUUGACCUCAUGAUCCGCCUGCCUCGGCCUCCCAAAGUGCCGGCAUUACAGGUGUGAGCCACAGCGCCCGGCUGCCCUCCCUCUUCAAAAGGUCCAUGCCAUGGUUCCGGGCAACGUGGCGAAAUCCAGUCUCUACUAACAGUAAAAAAAAUUAGCCAGGUGUGGUGGUGGGUGCCUGUAAUCUCAGCUGCUCAGGAAGCCGAGUGACAAGAGUUGUUUGAACCUGGGAGGCGGAGGUUGCAGUGAACCGAGAUCAUGCCACUGCACUCUAGCCUGGGGGACAGAGCAAGGCUCCCUCCAAAAAAAAAAAAAAAAAAAAGUUGCUGGGUGUGGUGGCUCACACCUGUAAUCCUAGCACUUUGGGAGGCCGAGGCGGGUGGAUCGUCUGAGGUCAGGAGUUCAAGACUAGCCUGGCCAUCAUGGUGAAACCCCAUCUUUAAAAAAAAAAAAAAAGAAUAAAAAAUAAAUAAAUAAAAAAGUCAGUGUCAUGAGAAAGAAAAGAAAACAGGGGGACUGUUCUAGAAUCCAGACCUUAGGAGGCUGCUGAGCUGCAGCAAUAUGUAGUAUGUGAACUACUGAAUACUUGUUCAGAAAAAAAAGAAACCUGCUACAAAAAGUGACCUUGAGAGACAACUUGGGACAUGUGAAUUAGAACUGGGUGCCAGGCACUAUUAUGGAAUUAAGUGUGGUAAUGGUACUGUGUGGUUACACAGCAGCUUCUAGAGGGGGAGGGUCCCAAUGUCUGUAACUUACCUUCAGAUAAUACGGAAGAAAAAUAUGUACAUUUAUAAAGAUACUUGAAAACAGCCAAGUGUUAACAAUUGUUAAAUCUAGAUUGACACAUAGGGGAUUAGAGGAUUCACUGUAAUUUUUUUUUUUUUUUUUUUUGAGACAGGGUCUCACUCUGUUGCCCAGGCUGAAGUGCAACGGUGUAAUCACAGUUCACUGCAGCCUCAACCUCCUGGGCUCAAGCAAUCCUCCCACCUCAGUUUCUCAAGUAGCUGGGAGUACAGGCAUACACCAUGAUGCCCAGCUCAUUUGUAAAAAUUUUUUGGUAGAGAUGGGGUCUCACUAUGUUGUCCAGAUUGGUUUCAAACUUGUGACCUCAAGCAAUCCUGCUCUGGCCUCCCAAAGUGCUGGGAUUACAGGCAUGAGUUAUCAUGCCUGGCUUCACUGUAAUUAAAAACAAAACAAACCUUGGCCGGGCGCGGUGGCUCACGCCUGUAAUCCCAGCACUUUGGGAGGCCGAGGCAGGUGGAUCACAAAGUCAAAAGACUGAGACCACCUGGGCAACAUGGUGAAACCCAGCUCUACUAAAAUACAAAAAUUAGCUUGGCAUGGUGGCGCACCUGUAGUCCCAGUUACUUGGAGGCUGAGGCGGGAGAAUCACUUGAACACAGGAGGCGGAGGUUGCAGUGAGCCGAGAUCACACCACUGUACACUCCAGUCUGGUGACAGAGUGAGACUCUGUCUCAAAAAAAAAAAAAAAAAACCUUUCCUGAAAGGAAAAGUUUUCUGUGAAUACUGAGGGGUUUUUUUAAGAAAAGGAAAAUAAAUGAAAGGGAAAGCUUUCAUAAUAAAAAGUCAUAAUAUUUUUUAAAAAGGAAGAGGGCUGGGUGCAAUGGCUCACACCUGUAAUCCCAGUAACUUUGGGAGGCUAACGUAGACAGAUGGGUUGAGGUCAGGAGUUCAAGACCAGCCUGGCUAACUUGGCGAAACUCUGUCUCUACUAAAAAUACAAAAAUUGGCUGGGUGUGAUGAUGCAUGCCUGUAAUCCCGGUGGCUGAGGCAAGAGACUUGCUUGAACCUGGGAGGCGGAGAUUGCAGAGAGCCAAGAUCAUGCCACUGCACUGUAGUCUGAGUGACAGUGUGAGGCUCUGUCUCAAAAAAAAAAAAAAAGAGGAAGAGGUACCGUGUCAAGGAAACUAGGUGAGAAAUGACCCGAGAGACUCUUUUUCUCUGGCUAGAUCCAGUGAAGUGCCAAAGGUAAAACAUCAAGCAGAGAACCUACCCACAGAAGAAACCCAACCAACGCUGAUUCCUUCCUGCCUCCCUUCCUCAGAGUUAUGUUAAUAACUUAUCUCUGUGUAGCAGACAGAAACACACUCAUCAUACCAU